rnacentral:rRNA from 1 species
CAGCCGCCGCGGUAAUACCAACCCCGCGAGUGGUCGGGACGUUUAUUGGGCCUAAAGCGUCCGUAGCCGGCCCGGUAAGUCCCUCCUUAAAGCCCACGGCUCAACCGUGGGAGCGGAGGGAUACUGCCGGGCUAGGGGGCGGGAGAGGCCGGGGGUACUCCUGGGGUAGGGGCGAAAUCCUAUAAUCCCAGGAGGACCACCAGUAGCGAAGGCGCCCGGCUAGCACGCGCCCGACGGUGAGGGACGAAAGCUGGGGGAGCAAAGGGGAUUAGAUACCCCCGUAGUCCCAGCUGUAAACGAUGCAGGCUAGGUGUUAGGCGGGCUUCGUGCCCGCCUAGUGCCGUAGGGAAGCCGUUAAGCCUGCCGCCUGGGGAGUACGGCCGCAAGGCUGAAACUUAAAGGAAUUGGCGGG